AACAAGGAUUCCCCUAGUAGCGGCGAGCGAAGCGGGAAGAGCUCAAAUUUAUAAUCUGGCACCUUCGGUGUCCCGAGUUGUAAUCUCUAGAAGUGUUUUCCGCGUUGGACCGCACACAAGUCUGUUGGAAUACAGCGGCAUAGUGGUGAAACCCCCGUAUAUGGUGCGGACGCCCAGCGCUUUGUGAUACACUUUCAAUGAGUCGAGUUGUUUGGGAAUGCAGCUCAAAUUGGGUGGUAAAUUCCAUCUAAAGCUAAAUAUUGGCGAGAGACCGAUAGCGAACAAGUACCGUGAGGGAAAGAUGAAAAGCACUUUGGAAAGAGAGUUAACAGUACGUGAAAUUGUUGGAAGGGAAACGCUUGAAGUCAGACUUGCUUGCCGGAGCUUGCUUCGGUUUGCAGGCCAGCAUCAGUUUUCCGGGGUGGAUAAUAACGGUUUGAAGGUAGCAGUCUCGGCUGUGUUAUAGCUUUCCGUUGGAUACAUCCUGGGGGACUGAGGAACGCAGCGUGCUUUUUGCGAAAGACUCGUCUUUUUCACGCUUAGGAUGCUGGUGGAAUGG
rnacentral:rRNA from 1 species